UUUUAAAGGAAACUGAAGUAACAUCCAGAGAUUACGAACUACCGACGGCUGUACUUUAUCUCCAAGGUAUCCGAAGCAGCUCCAAGAAAUGAGAAACAUCCAUCGGCUUAUACGACGUACAUAGUUGAGCCGAGGGCAGAUAACAAGUAUGAGGAUCUAAAGUGGAAUAAUGACAACCCAGUUGUCUAUGUAAACGUCAAGUGAAAAACUUUGAAUGUUAAUUUCAAUGUGAUAUUGCUCUGAAAUCGAGAAAAUAAUUACAACGUAUGGUGUUGCUGAUUAAUUAUACAAUGGUAUUUACUUUUAUUCUGCAUUUCCCUUGAUUUUUAAAUACAUAUUUUGUUCAAAUAAACACAUCGUAAACUGAUGCAAUCAAUAAUUAUCAUAAUAAAUGUUGUUAAUUUGGUCAUAAUUGUUUAUUGUAUUCAUGUAUUAAUAUAUAACAUAAGAUUCAAAUAAUGAUAGCAAAUACUGUAUGGGUUUUGUAAAAAGCUUUCAUUUUGCUAUUUGUCGUUCAAGUUCAUUUAGAAAUAUUUUGAAAUACUUAAUAUGUAUGACAAACUUAAUUAUAGUGGUUAUGUGAUGUGAAACGAGUGCUAAAUUAUGUAGGUUUUUAUUGGUAUGACAGGUAAUAUGGGACAAGAUAACUAAAUUGACAUAACAGUACUCAACACUCUCUGAGACAUUCAUGUGACAGAAAUUAUACAACUUCGGAGGAAAUAGGCUAUUAUAAUUCUUGCCAAAGGAAACAAUACACAUAAUAUUAUGUACAUAAUAGUCCUACUCUAGGUCAAAGUUACUUUACUAGCAGUAAGCAUUAAAAUAUACCAUAUAAGUAUAUUAUACUUAGGUAUUCAUUUCUAUGGAAGGUACGGUAUUAAACGCGUAUACGUAGAAAUACUGAAAAACAGCAAUCAUAAUAUUUAUAUGGUUCCAUGUAAUAAAAGUUUUUAGUCACGUAGGCCUAUCAAAUCAAAAUCAUUAAAGCCUGGAUUCCAUAAAAUCACUAAACAGUCGCUACAGCGUUUUCACUGCAAUUCUUGCACUGCAUAUCUGUCCCCGACGCAAUCGGAAACGCUCCCUGUUUCAACUGAAGCUUGGUUCCCAUAGAAUAUCUCGCCAUAUCGGCGACAGUUUGGUUGAAGGUUGAACAUUGUUCAACUUUGUCGAUUGCGUUGCAGAGGAAUCAGGCACCUUCCCGAUCGCGUUCAUCUGCAACGCAAUCAGCAAAGUUGAACCAGGAGUUCCAACCUU